rnacentral:tRNA from 1 species
GUUAAGGUGGCAGAGCCCGGUAAUUGCGUAAAACUUAAGCYUUUAUACU